GACGAACGCUGGCGGCGUGCUUAACACAUGCAAGUCGAACGGAAAGGCCCUGCUUUUGUGGGGUGCUCGAGUGGCGAACGGGUGAGUAACACGUGAGUAACCUGCCCUUAAUUUUGGGAUAACUUCGGGAAACUGGGGCUAAUACCGGAUAGGAGCUCCUGCUGCAUGGUGGGGGUUGAAAAGUUUCGGCGGUUGGGGAUGGACUCGCGGCUUAUCAGCUUGUUGGUGGGGUAGUGGCUUACCAAGGCUUUGACGGGUAGCCGGCCUGAGAGGGUGACCGGCCACAUUGGGACUGAGAUACGGCCCAGACUCCUACGGGAGGCAGCAGUGGGGAAUAUUGCACAAUGGGCGGAAGCCUGAUGCAGCAACGCCGCGUGCGGGAUGACGGCCUUCGGGUUGUAAACCGCUUUCGCCUGUGACGAAGCGUGAGUGACGGUAAUGGGUAAAGAAGCACCGGCUAACUACGUG
rnacentral:rRNA from 1 species